AAGUCGUAACAAGGUUUCCGUAGGUGAACCUGCGGAAGGAUCAUUAAUGAAUGAAUGUAGAGUCGGUUGUAGCUGGGUCUUUUAAUCGAGGCCAUGUGCACGCCUUCUCUUUCAUCCACACACACCUGUGCACCUGUUUAGACGGUCGAAGGAAAAAGUCUUUCUCGCGAGAGAGAGGCUGGCUCCUUUUCCGUCCAAUACAUAAAAUCUUAUAUAUCUAAUCAGAAUGUAAUCGAUGUAAACGCAUCUAUAAACUAAGUUUCAACAACGGAUCUCUUGGUUCUC
rnacentral:misc_RNA from 1 species